UACGUAGGGUCCAAGCGUUAAUCGGAAUUAUUGGGCGUAAAGCGUGCGUAGGCGGUUAUCUAAGUCGGAUGUGAAAGCCCCGGGCUCAACCUGGGAAUUGCAUUCGAGACUGAAUAGCUAGGGUACGGUAGAGGGAAGUGGAAUUUCCGGUGUAGCGGUGAAAUGCGUAGAUAUCGGAAGGAACAUCAGUGGCGAAAGCGACUUCCUGGACCAGUACCGACGUUCAGGCACGAAAGCGUGGGGAGCAAACAGG
rnacentral:rRNA from 1 species